GUGAGUCAUCGAAUCUUUGAACGCACCCUGCACCUUUUGGACUUGUCUGAAAGGUCUGCCUGUUUGAGUAGAUGAAAUAAACAUCAAAGGGCAAGCUGCCGUCGUACAGUAGCCAAUUUGGUCUUGAGCCUUCCGAAGUGUGUGUGAACGCGCUUUGGUGGCUUUAAAUGCAUGGUAUCGGAAGCAAUGUGCUUGGUGACGCGAACGGUGUUUUAAUCAGGUCAGAGAUGACCGGUCAUGCAUGCCAGUAGCGACACCUUCAAGGCGUUUUGUCUCCCGACACACAUGGGACAGAGGUCUACUCUGUGCAUUUACCAACCUCUUCAUCUUCAAAUCAGGUAGGAAUACCCGCUGACUUAAGGCAUAUCAAUAAGCGAGG
rnacentral:rRNA from 1 species